UUUUUUUUUUUAACUUUAGAUUUAACUUUAAUCUUUCAUUUAGAUUUUUGGUCCUAUAAACUUACCAGUUUUCAUUGCUAUCAAUGUUCUGUUUAUUUACUUGAACACUCUCCCCCAAUUAAGGAAGGGUGUGGUAAAUUUAAGGAUCUGAAAUUACUAUGGGUGAUUUGUAAAAUGAAAGGUGAAACAGAGGCUGUGUGUUCUGGGCAAUGAAGGAAUGUAAACUGUGAGGAGACAGGGUACUACUGAAGGGUUUUAAACAGGAAUUACGUGAUCUGAUUUGCCUUUCAGAAAUGUGCUACAGUGGUAGCUAAGAGACCAUGUAGGAGACCACUGCAGUGCUUCGAAGAGUUACUAAUGGCAGAAGGAAGAUUACUCAAGCUGGAAUUGAUUAGAUGUGGGGACUGGGAAAGAGAGAGCGGGAGCUGUUGUCUCCUAGGUUUGGGGGGCUGCUGAAUAAAUGUUGGCACUUUUCACCAGAUGGGAACAUGACUGAGGAAGAUCAGGUUUGGGGCAGGAGGAGACACCUGGGUUCAGUUAGAUAUCCAGUUAAAAGCUUGAGUAGCAUGAGACUGAUAUUGGAUAGAAAUCAUUCAACAGAAGGUGUAGAAUGAGAAAAGAAAGGAGUCUAGGACAGAAAGUUGGACAGUACACACAUAUUUAAUAAGGUAGAGCUGAAGAAAGGAAAUAGAUUAAGAAGGCCCUGCCAGUGAGAUUGGAGGGAAGCCACAGAAACCAAAGUGGAUGUUUCAAGAGGGAAGGAUGAUCAAUCUCAGUUUACACUGCUGCUUACAGUGUAGACUGAGAAAUGGGCCCUAACAAGACCUAACUGAAGUGAUCAGCUGCCUACCUAUUAGAAAACACUCCCAAUUAGGAAAAUAAAAACAGUGCUUAAGAGAGCUAUAGAAAGAACAGAUAGAAGGCCAAAUUGUUUAUGUAAUACACCCAUUAUAUCUAAGACUAUCCCAAAAAUAUAAUUACUUUAUUUUGAUUGUGUACUUGUUAGGCAACAAUUUACUACACUAUUUUUUAUCUGACUUUUAAAGUCAUCAGAUUUGUAGGUAGCCCAGAAAGAUUCACUGUUUUUUUUCUCAGUAUUAUAUGUAUGAUACAGUAGUAGAUGCUAAAAAUGAGGUCAAAGAGUUAUUGAAUUUACUCUGUGUUAAUUAAGCUUGAAGGAACAAUAGAAAUUAAGCUUAAUUAAAGGAAUAAUUGAAGUUAAACUUCAUUUAUUAGUUGUGGUCUUUUUAUUAAAUAGCUUUGCUACAUGUCACAUAGUCAAAGAAUAUAGAAUUCAUAAAGGGCUUGAUAACUUCAUGAGAAGACAGAAUACAUAAGAGAUAACAUUGGGAUUAAGUAUAAGUACUUUGGGGAUUUGGGGAGGAAGCGCAUACAACAGUACUGUGGGUAGAAAGCAGCUAAAGGGCAGAAUUGGACUUGAUCUGAAAUUGGAAGGAUGUUAGCAUUUGGAAAUGGGAAAGCAAGGAGCAGGGUGUUUCAAGUGGGGAAAGUAUGAAUCAGUAUUUUCAACAAACAUGACAUAUUUGAUAAAUAAUUAAAAUGGAGCGCUUGUUUGACAAGUGUGGAACUUAAAGAGAUAAUAACAGACCUUAGCAAAGGGUCAGAUCAGGCUGGGGAGUUUGAAUUUUUAUCCCACAGGCAGUGGGAAUUAUUGGAAGUUUUGAGGAGGAUAAGAGACAUGAUUAUUAUAGCAAGUGUAUUCUGACAGCACCAUGGAACAAUAAAAGAAAAGGAAUCUGGAAGAUGAGUAUAAUACUGAAGAUGGAAGUUUUGACUGCGGUGCCAAGAUGCACUUGGAAUUCCUACUUAGCUGAUCCUUUUGUGUGUUGGUGCUUGGAACCUUCCCUGGUUCUUGUUAUAGCUGUAGAUUGCUUACCAAGUAAUUUCCUUCAUGGGAAACAACUCUUCCUGUUUGUUGCAUAACACUCCUUUAGUUGCCAAGAGUCUGGUAAUGGUUCUAACUUCUCUCCACUGAAAUCUGCUUCUGCUCCUCCUCCACUGUUAUAUCCCAGGGCAGCAUACCUGUGCUUAUGGAAAACUCAUGCAUUCCUUGUAGCAUAUGGGUGUUGCUGAUCAGGUUAACAUGCACAUCCAGCCUAUCCAACAAUAUCUCAUUGUAGAAUGCAUCAGCUCUCUGAUCAAUAAGUUUGGUCAUCAAUCUACCUCAGUUCAGUUGAUUCUGGGGUACUGAAAACAUUGAGUUCUAGACUGAAAGGCUGAGACUCAGAUCUUAGAUUGUGGAAUCCUGGUUAGAGUGAUUUCACCUGUGAUCCCAAUGGAUCACUUGCUGUCCAGACAGUCAAGUCUUGCAGUGUGCAUUAGUCUAUAGGUGUGUGUGUGUGUGUGUGUGUGUGUGUGUGUGUGUGUGUGAUGAAAAAUUCAGAUUUGGACACGCUGAGUUUUAAGACAUUUGAAAAAGUCACAUGACUUACACAUGGUAGAUGUUUAAUAAGUGUUUAAUGUCAAUGAGUUAAAUAAAAAGAAAAUGCA
rnacentral:lncRNA from 1 species